UAGGGAAUCUUCGGCAAUGGACAGAAGUCUGACCGAGCAACGCCGCGUGAGUGAAGAAGGUUUUCGGAUCGUAAAGCUCUGUUGUAAGAGAAGAACGAGUGUGAGAGUGGAAAGUUCACACUGUGACGGUAACUUACCAGAAAGGGACGGCUAACUACGUGCCAGCAGCCGCGGUAAUACGUAGGUCCCAAGCGUUAUCCGGAUUUAUUGGGCGUAAAGCGAGCGCAGGCGGUUAGAUAAGUCUGAAGUUAAAGGCUGUGGCUUAACCAUAGUACGCUUUGGAAACUGUUUAACUUGAGUGCAGAAGGGGAGAGUGGAAUUCCAUGUGUAGCGGUGAAAUGCGUAGAUAUAUGGAGGAACACCGGUGGCNAAAGCGGCUCUCUGGUCUGUAACUGACGCUGAGGCUCGAAAGCGUGGGGAGCAAACAGGAUUAGAUACCCUGGUAGUCCACGCCGUAAACGAUGAGUGCUAGGUGUUGGGUCCUUUCCGGGACUCAGUGCCGCAGCUAACGCAUUAAGCACUCCGCCUGGGGAGUACGACCGCAAGGUUG
rnacentral:rRNA from 1 species